AUGAAUUAUACCUUCUGUGGGCUCAAAGUUCAAGGCAGCAGGGAAGAUUCGGCAGACAGGUGCCUCGGGAGGGAGAGGGCCUUGAUGGGGAUCGUUUCCCUAAGACUUGGCUUCCACAGCUGGUUCGGUCCCACUCCCUGCCUGCUUCACUCUGAUUUUCACAAUGAAUGGCCAGAAUCAAGAGUGAUCCAGAAGCCUGCGGAAGGUGGCGCAGCAGAGGGAGCUGGUCGUCCCGAAUCCUGCAUCUGCUGCACUAGUUUGACAGUUAAAAUGACUACGUUCUUAAAACAUUUUUUUUUUUUUUUUUUUUUUUUUUGCUUUAUUUUGAAUAAACAGACCCUCCUGGGAGUAACAAAGACAGAGCUAGAAAUCUCUAAUCUGGCCGAGGGUCUUUUUUUUUCUUCCCUUUAAUUUUACCAUAUGUGGACCCUGAAAUUAUAAUAAGGAAAAGGACAGGACACAGUAACUCACAAUAUAAAGCAAUCUAACCCAGAUGUUGAUGACAGAUUUCUGAAGCAUAGUCUGAGAGCUUGUUUCAAAAGUGGGGAAAUGUUGCGAUGUUAGAACAGCAGUCAUAGCCCCCAGCUAAAAUGGCCUGUAGAGCUUGUAACCAAAGCCAUUGCUGAUACAUGGAAAUUAUUU
rnacentral:lncRNA from 1 species